rnacentral:rRNA from 1 species
UACGAAGGGGGCUAGCGUUGUUCGGAAUCACUGGGCGUAAAGCGCACGUAGGCGGACCUAUAAGUCAGGGGUGAAAUCCCGGGGCUCAACCUCGGAACUGCCUUUGAUACUGUGGGUCUCGAGACCGGAAGAGGUGGGUGGAAUUCCUAGUGUAGAGGUGAAAUUCGUAGAUAUUAGGAAGAACACCAGUGGCGAAGGCGGCUCACUGGUCCGGUUCUGACGCUGAGGUGCGAAAGCGUGGGGAGCAAACAGG